rnacentral:rRNA from 1 species
GACGGAGGAUGCAAGCGUUAUCCGGAAUGAUUGGGCGUAAAGCGUCCGCAGGUGGCCGUUCAAGUCUGCUGUCAAAGACCGGGGCUUAACUUCGGAAAGGCAGUGGAAACUGAACAGCUAGAGUAUGGUAGGGGCAGAGGGAAUUCCUGGUGUAGCGGUGAAAUGCGUAGAUAUCUGGAGGAACACCGGUGGCGAAGGCGGCAUCCUGGACCAACACUGACGCUGAGGAGCGAAAGCCAGGGGAGCAAACGGG